rnacentral:rRNA from 1 species
GACGAACGCUGGCGGCGUGCUUAACACAUGCAAGUCGAACGGAAAGGCCCUGCUUUUGUGGGGCGCUCGAGUGGCGAACUGGUGAGUAACACGUGAGUAACCUGCCCUUGACUUUGGGAUAACUUCAGGAAACUGGGGCUAAUAUCGGAUAGGAGCUCCUGCUGCAUGGUGGGGGUUGGAAAGUUUCGGCGGUUGGGGAUGGACUCGCGGCUUAUCCGCUUGUUGGUGGGGUAGUGGCUUACCAAGGCUUUGACGGGUAGCCGGCCUGGGAGGGUGACCGGCCACAUUGGGACUGAGAUACGGCCCAGACUCCUACGGGAGGCAGCAGUGGGGAAUAUUGCACAAUGAGCGGAAGCCAGAUGCAGCAACGCCGCGUGCGGGAUGACGGCCUUCGGGUUGUAAACCGCUUUCGCCUGUGACGAAGCGUGAGUGACGGUAAUGGGUAAAGAAGCACCGGCUAACUACGUG